UUAUGGUCAUACCAUGUUGAAACACCGGUUCUCGUACGAUCACCGAAGUUAAGCAACGUCGAGCCUAGACAGCACCUAGAUGGAUAGCGGUUGGUAAUACCAGGUAC